rnacentral:rRNA from 1 species
UACGAAGGGUGCAAGCGUUGCUCGGAAUUAUUGGGCGUAAAGCGCACGUAGGCGGCUUUGCAAGUCCCAUGUGAAAUCCCACGGCUCAACCGUGGAAGUGCAUGGGAAACUGCAGAGCUUGAGUACUUAAGAGGAUCGCGGAAUUCCCGGUGUAGAGGUGAAAUUCGUAGAUAUCAGGAGGAACACCAGCGGCGAAGGCGGCGCGCUGGGCCGGAACUGACGCUGAGGAGCGAAAGCGUGGGUAGCAAACAGG